GCUGCAAAGGGAAGGAGAGGAAACGAGAGGGGAAAAUAAAAGACUUGAUGCGAUAGGAAAUAUUAUCAACAGAAAUUGAAAAUAUUUGAGAUUAGAAUUCAGGUUAUGGAAGAAAUGAAAGUAUAGAAAUCAGGAUCACUGGUGGAGAAAUCAUCCCUGAAAAGAAAAUGAACAGCUUAUCCUCUGUGACUGUAGAAAAAGGAGUGAAAGCUAAAACCAGGAGAGGGAAAAGGGCAAGUAAGCAUGCAGAACCAGCACACACCAUCAUAUUGUCUGAGAACUGAUGCUCGUGCAUGCAUAGCGCCAGUGUGUGAGUCGAGGCAUACCCCAUACGGAGGCUGUUUGUGAACCUUCUGUGUGUGACUUUGUCCUGUUUUGGCUGGAGUUGCUUGGAAUGGCAGCAAUACAAAAGCCCAGAAUUUUACAUUUCUCACAACUACACGGAUGAUGCUCGGGCAGGAGACCACACUUUGGAAACUGCCACCCUAAUGAAGUUAUGGGCAAUUAGGAGAAUAUCUGAUUCACCCUAGUAAACCCAAGGGAAGCCAUUACGUAUGUGAAGCUGUGUUAGUUGCUGAAUCAAAACUUCGGUAAUUUUUGGCAGAUGAGAGGAAAAGAGCACAUGACAUACUGAAAACAAAGAGAACAAAUGAACAAUAGAAACAGAUGCACAGAAAAUUAGUUGACCCUUCAGCCCCUUCAGACUGCAGCCUGGGCACACAUAAUGAGUACAACCUCUAGAGAGACCCUGAGCACAAAGUUUAAUAAAAAUCUAGUGGACUGAGGACAGAAGAUGGUGAAGGAGUAGGAGGAUGUGGAGUUCAUCUCUCUCCAUGGAUGCAUCAGGAAUACAUCUAUAGAUGAACCAAUUCUCACACUGGCUGAACACUAGCAGAAGACCUUGGACACUGGAAAGGACUAUAAACAUCCCUGCAUAACGGGACGAGUGACUUGUGCAGUCUUGGUUCCUCAAGCAGAAGUCAGGCCUGAGCCUCUGGGGUGGGAGCACCAAGUCCAGGAACCUGGACCACUAGAGAAUUCCUGGCCCCAGGGAAGAUUAAUCACUGAGAGCUCUCAUGGAGGCCUCUAUCUGAAUCCAAGACCUGCUCCACCCAACUGCCUGCAGCUCCCAGCACUGGUUUCCUCACACCAAACAACAAACAAGACAGGAACACAACACCACCCAUUAGCAGAGAGGCUGCCUAAAGUCAUAUUAAGUUCAAAGACACCUCAAAACACACCACCUGACAGGGCCCUGCUUAUCACAGGGAAAAGACUCAGCUGCACCCACCAGAACGCAGACACCAGUCACUCCCAUCAGGAAGCCUACACAAGACACUGGACCAACGCCACCACGAGGGGUGGAGAACAGAAGCAAGAGGAACUAUGACCCUGCAGCCUAGGGAAAGGAGAUGUCAAAUACUGUACAUUAGACAAAAUAAGAAGACAGAGAAAUAUCUUUCAGGCAAAGGAGCAAGAUAAAAAUCCAAAGACUGGGCUUCCAUGGUGGCACAGUGGUUGAGAAUUUGCCUGCCAAUGCAGGGGACAUGGGUUUGAGCCCUGGUCUGGUAAGAUCUCACAUAUCGCAGAGCAACUAGGCCCAUGAGCCACAACUACUGAGCCUGUGCAUCUGGAACCUAUGCUCCACAACAAGAGAGGCCGCGAUAGUGAGAGACCCACACACCGUGAUGAAGAGUGACCCCCGCUUGCCACAACUAGAGAAAACCCUCACACAGAAACAAAGACCCAACACAGCCAAAAAUAAAUAAAUACAUACAUACAUACUCUCAAUUUCUGACAAUAUAUUAAGAAAAAACAAAAAAACCCCACAAGACCAAAUAAAUGAAGAGGAAACAGGCAAACUACCUGAAAAAAGAAUUCAGAGUAAUGAUAAUAAAGAUGAUCCAAAUGCUCACAAAUAGAGAAAAUACAAGAAACGUUUAACAAGGACCUACAAGAACUAAAGAGCAAACCAACAGUAAUGAGCAACACAAUAACUGAAAUUAAAAAUACUCUAGAAGGAAUCAAGAGCAGAAUAAGUGAGGAAGAAGAACAGAUAAGUGAGCUGGAAGACAGAAUGGUGGAAAUAACUGGCACAGAGCAGAAUAAAGAUAAAAGAAUGAAAAGAAUGGAGGACAGUCUCAGAGACCUCUGGGACAACAUUAAGCACAACAACAUUUAAAUUACAGGCAUCCCAGAAGAAGAAAAAAAAGAAAGGGUCUGAGAAAAUAUGUGAAGAGAUUAUAAUUGAAAACUUCUCCAACAUGGGAAAGGAAAUAGUCAAUAAAGUUCAGGAAGUGCAGAGAGUCCCAUACAGGAUAAACCCAAGGAGACACACGCCAAGACACAUAUUAAUCAAACUAACAAAAAAUAACACAAAGAAAAAAACAUUAAAAGCAGCAAAGGGAAAACAACAAAUAACAUACAAGGGAAUCCCCCAUAAGGUUAACAGCUGAUCAUUCAGCAGAAACUCUGCAGGCCAGAAGAGAGUGGCAGGAUCUAUUUAAAGUGAUGAAAGGGAAAAAGCUACAACCAAGAUUACUCUACCCAGCAAGGAUCUCAUUCAGAUUCAAUGGAGAAAUUAAAAUUUUUACAGACAAGCAAAAGCUAAGAGAAUUUAUCACCACCAAUCCAGCUUUACAACAAAUGCUCAAGGAACUUCUCUAGGCAGAAAACACAAGAGAAGGAAAAGACCUAAAAAAAGAAACCCAAAACAAUUUUUUAAAAAGUAAUAGGAAAAUACAUAUCAAUAAUGACCUUAAAUGUACAUGGAUUAAAUGCUCCAACCAAAAGACAUAGACUGGCUGAAUGGAUACAAAAACAAGACCCAUGUAUAUGCUGUCUACAAGACACCCAACACAGACCUAGGGACACAUACAAACUGAAAGUGAAGGGAUGGAAAAAGAUAUUCCAUGAAAAUGGCACUCAAAGCUGGAAUAGCACUAAUCAUAUCAGACAAAAUAGACUUUAAAAUAAAAACUACUACAAGAGACAAGGAAGGACACUACAUAAUGAUCAAGGGAUCAAUCAAAGAAGAAGAUAUAACAAUUGUAAAUAUUUAUGCACCAAACAUAGGAGCACCUCAAUAUAUAAGGCAAAUACUGACAGCCAUAAAAGGGGAAAUCAAGAGUAAAACAGUAAUAAUGUGGGACUUUAACACCCCACUUACACGAAUGGACAGAUCAUCCAAACAGAAGCUAAAUAAAGAAACACAAACUUUAAAUGACAUAGUAGACCAGAUGGACUUAACCAUUAUUUAUAGGACAUUCCAUGCAAAAACAACGGAAUACACUUUCUUCUCAAGUGCACAUGGAAUAUUCUCCAGGAUAGAUCACAUCUUGGGUCACAGAUCAAGCCUGGGUAAAUUUAAGAAAAUUGAAAUCAUAUCAAGCAUCUUUUCUGACCACAACACUAUGAAACUAGAUAUCAAUUACAGGAAAAAAAACUGUAAAAAAUACAAACACAUGGAGGCUAAACAAUAUGCUACUAAACAACCAAGAGAUCACUGAAGAAAUCAAAGAGGAAAUCAAAAAAUACCUAGAAACAAAUGACAAUGAAAACACAAUGACCCAAAACCUACGGGAUGCAGCAAAAGCAGGUCUAAGAGGGAAGUUGAUAGCAAUACAAUCCUACCUCAAGAAACAAGAAAAAUCUCAAAUAAACAACCUAACCUUACACCUAAAGCAAUUAGAGAAAGAAGAACAAAAAACCCCAAAGUUAGCAGAAGGAAAGAAAUCAUAAAGAUCACAGCAGAAAUAAAAGAAAUAGAAAUGAAGAAAACAAUUGCAAAGAUCAAUAAAACUAAAAGUUGGUUCUUUGAGAAGAUAAACAAAAUUGAUAAACCACUAACCAGACUCAUCAGGAAAAAAAGGGAGGAGACUCAAAUCAACAGAAUUAGAAAUGAAAACGAAGUAACAAUUGACACUGCAGAAAUACAAAGGAUCAUGAGAGAUUACUACAAGCAACUCUAUGCCAAUAAAAUGGACAACCUAGAAGAAAUAGACAAAUUCUUAGAAAAGUACAACCUUCCAUGACUGAACCAGGAAGUAAUAGAAUAUAUAAACAGACCAAUCACAAGCACUGAAAUUGAAACUGUGAUUAAAAAUCUUCCAACAAACAAAAGCCCAGGACCAGAUGGCUUCACAGGCGAAUUUUAUCAAACACUUAGAGAAGAGCUAACACCUAUCCUACUCAAACUCUUCCCAAAUAUAGCAGAUGGAGGAACACUCUGAAACUCAUUCUACGAGGCCACCAUCACCCUGAUACCAAAACCAAACAAAGAUGUCACAGAAAAAGAAAAUUACAGGCCAAUAUCACUGAUGAACAUAGACGCAAAAAUCCUCAACAAAAUACUAGCAAACAGAAUCCAACAGCACAUUAAAAGGAUCAUACACUGUGAUUAAGUGGUGUUUAUAUAGGAAUGGAAGGAUUCUUUAGUAUAUGCCAAUCAAUCCAUGUGGUACACCAUAUUAACUGAAGGAUUAAAAACCAUAUGAUCAUCUCAAUAGAUACAGAAAAAGCUUUUGACAACGUUCAACACACAUUUAUGAUAAAAACUCUGCAGAAAGUGGGCAUAGUGGGAAACUCCCUCAGCCUAAUAAAAGCAGUACAUGACAAACCCACAGCCAACAUCAUUCUCAAUGGUGAAAAACUGAAAGCAUUGCCUCUAAGAUCAGGAAGAAGAAAAGUGGGCCCACUCUAACCACUAUUGUCCAACAUGCCUUUGGAAGAUUUAGCCACAGCAAUCAGAAAAGAAAAAGAAAUAAAAGAAAUACAGAUUGGAAGAGACAAAGUAAAACUGUCACUGUUUGCAGCAGACAUGAUACUAUACAGAGAAAAUCCUAAAGAUGCCACCAGAAAACUACUAGAGCUAAUCAAUGAAUUUGGUAAAGUAGCAGGCUACAAAAUUAAUGCAGAGAAAUCUCUUGCAUUCCUAUACAUUAACAAUGAAAAAGCAGAAAGAGAAAUUAAGGAAACACUCCCAUUUACCACUGCAACAAUAAGAAUAAAAUACCUAGGAAUAAACCUACCUACAGAGGGAAAAGGCCUGUAAGCAGAAAAUUAUAAGAUACUGAUGAAAGAAAUCAAAGAUGAUACAGAUGGAGAGAUGUACCAUGUUCUUGGAUUGAAAGAAUCAUCAUUGUGACAAUGACUAAACUACCCAAAGCAAUCUACAGAUUUAAUGCAAUCCCUUUCAAAUUACUAAUGGAAUCUUUCAAAGAACUAGGACAAGAAAUUUUAUAAUUUGUAUGGAAACACAAAAGACUCCGAAUAGCCAAAGCAAUCUUGAGAAAGAAAAAUAGAGCUGGAGGAAUCAGGCUCCCUGACUUCAGACUGUAUUACAAAGCUACAGUACAAAGCUACUAAUAUAAAAAAACACAUAUAGAUCAAUGGAACAGGAUAGGAAGGCCAGAGAUAAACCCAUGCACAUAUAGUCACCUUAUCUUUGAUAAAGGAGGCAAGAAUAUACAGUGGAGAAAAGACAGCCUCUUCAGUAAGUGGUGCUGGGAAAACUGGACAGCUACAUGUAAAAGAAUGAAAUUAGAACACUCCCUAACACCAUACACAAAAAUAAACUCAAAAUGGAUUAAAUACCUAAAUGUAAGGCCAGACACUAUCAAACUCUUAGAGAAAAACAUAGGCAUAACACUCUAUGACAUAAAUCACAGCAAGAUCCUUUUUGACCCACCUCCUAGAGUAAUGGAAAUAAAAACAAAAAUAAACAAAUGGGACCUAAAGAAACUUAAAAGCUUUUGCACAGCAAAGGAAACCAUAAACAAGACCAAAAGACAACCCUCAGAAUGAGAGAAAAUAUUUGCAAAUGAAGCAACUGACAAAGGAUUAAUCUGCAAAAUUUACAAGCAGCUCAUGCAGCUCAAUAGCAAAAAAACAAACAACCCAAUCCAAAAAUGGGCAGAA